GACGAACGCUGGCGGCGUGCCUAAUACAUGCAAGUUGAGCGCUGAAGGUUGGUACUUGUCCCAACUGGCUGAGCAGCGAACGGGUGAGUAACGCGUGGGGAAUCUGCCUUUGAGCGGGGGACAACAUUUGGAAACGAAUGCUAAUACCGCAUAAAAACUUUAAACACAAGUUUUAAGUUUGAAAGAUGCAAUUGCAUCACUCAAAGAUGAUCCCGCGUUGUAUUAGCUAGUUGGUGAGGUAAAGGCUCACCAAGGCGAUGGUACAUAGCCGACCUGAGAGGGUGAUCGGCCACAUUGGGACUGAGACACGGCCCAAACUCCUACGGGAGGCAGCAGUAGGGAAUCUUCGGCAAUGGACGAAAGUCUGACCGAGCAACGCCGCGUGAGUGAAGAAGGUUUUCGGAUCGUAAAACUCUGUUGGUAGAGAAGAACGUUGGUGAGAGUGGAAAGCUCAUCAAGUGACGGUAACUACCCAGAAAGGGACGGCUAACUACGUG
rnacentral:rRNA from 1 species